rnacentral:rRNA from 1 species
GACGAACGCUGGCGGCGUGCUUAACACAUGCAAGUCGAACGGAAAGGCCCUGCUUUUGUGGGUUUCUCGUGUGGCGAACGGGUGUGUAACACGUGAGUAUCCUGCCCUUGUCUUUGUGAUAUCUUCACGAAACUGCGGCUAAUACCGCAUAUGAGCUCCUGCUCCAUGGUGGUGGUUGGAAAGUUUCGGCGGUUGUGGCUCGACUCGCGGCUUAUCCGCUUGUUGGUGUGGUAGUUGCUUACCAAGGCUUUGACGGGUAGGCGGCAUGAGAGGGGGACCGGCGACAAGGGGACUGAGAGACGGACCAGAAUCCUACGGGAGGCAGCAGGGGGGAAUAUUGCACAAUGGGGGGAAGCGUGAGGCAGAAACGCCGCGAGCGGGAUGACGGGCUUCGGGUUGUAAACAGAUGUCGACUGUGACGAAGCGGGAGUGACGGUAAUGAGUAAAGAAGCACCGGCUAACUACGUG